rnacentral:rRNA from 1 species
UACAGAGGGGGCGAGCGUUGUUCGGAAUUACUGGGCGUAAAGAGCGCGCAGGCGGUCGUUCAAGUCGCGUGUGAAAGCCCCCGGCUCAACUGGGGAGGGUCACGCGAUACUGAUCGACUCGAAGGCAGGAGAGGGUAGUGGAAUUCCCGGUGUAGUGGUGAAAUGCGUAGAGAUCGGCAGGAACACCCAGGGGGAAACCAGCGGACUGGGCAUCAGCUGACGCUCAGGUGCGACAGCGUGGGGAGCGAACCGG